rnacentral:lncRNA from 1 species
AUGUUUAUAAUUCGUCGUUCAGAUGUCCAUUUUGGAUGAUCCACAUAUCGUUUGAAAUAUUAUUCGAUACUCUACGCAAUGGUGGGUCAUAAUCUAAGACAUUUCGGACGGAAAAUUUAUAAUUCAUUCUAGAAGAUAAAAACCAACACGUUUACGCACAAAAUUUCAAUGAAAAAUUUCCCGGUGUAUUUGAUGGUCCAACAUGUCUCAUUGAAAGGCAUA